rnacentral:rRNA from 1 species
UACGUAGGGUGCGAGCGUUGUCCGGAUUUAUUGGGCGUAAAGAGCUCGUAGGCGGUUUGUCGCGUCGGCCGUGAAAUCUCCACGCUUAACGUGGAGCGUGCGGUCGAUACGGGCAGACUUGAGUUCGGUAGGGGAGACUGGAAUUCCUGGUGUAGCGGUGAAAUGCGCAGAUAUCAGGAGGAACACCGGUGGCGAAGGCGGGUCUCUGGGCCGAUACUGACGCUGGAGGAGCGAAA